CCAUAACCAAGCGGCAAUCUAUAUUGUUGUUUAAGCCAAGCGGCAAUCUAUAUAGUUAUCAUAGCCAAACGGUAAUCUGUAUUGUUAUUCUAGCCAUGCGACAUAUCAUAAGCGUUACUUUAGUCAAGCAACAAUCUGUAUUGUUAUUCUAACCAUGCUGCAUAUCUUAAGCUUAACUCUGGCCAAGCGGCAAUCUGUAUUGUUAUUU
rnacentral:lncRNA from 1 species